rnacentral:rRNA from 1 species
UACACUCCUGCGGGAGGCAGCAGUGGGGAAUAUUGCCCAAUGGGCGCAAGCCUGAUGCAGCCAUGCCGCGUGUAUGAAGAAGGCCUUCGGGUUGUAAAGUACUUUCAGCGGGGAGGAAGGCGAUAAGGUUAAUAACCUUGUCGAUUGACGUUACCAGCAGAAGAAGCACCGGCUAACUCCGUGCCAGCAGCCGCGGUAAUACGGAGGGUGCAAGCGUUAAUCGGAAUUACUGGGCGUAAAGCGCACGCAGGCGGUCUGUCAAGUCGGAUGUGAAAUCCCCGGGCUCAACCUGGGAACUGCAUUCGAAACUGGCAGGCUAGAGUCUUGUAGAGGGGGGUAGAAUUCCAGGUGUAGCGGUGAAAUGCGUAGAGAUCUGGAGGAAUACCGGUGGCGAAGGCGGCCCCCUGGACAAAGACUGACGCUCAGGUGCGAAAGCGUGGGGAGCAAACAGGAUUAGAUACCCCAGUAGUCCCAUGA